rnacentral:rRNA from 1 species
AGAACGAACGCUGGCGGCAUGCCUAACACAUGCAAGUCGAACGCUCUUGGGAUUUCGGUCUCAAGGGAGUGGCGCACGGGUGAGUAGCGCGUGGGAACCUGCCCUGUUGUGGGGGAUAACCGAGGGAAACUUCGGCUAAUACCGCAUAAGCCGGCUGUCUUGCGAAAGAUGGCCGGGAAAGAUUUAUCGCGACAGGAGGGGCCCGCGUCGGAUUAGGUAGUUGGUGGGGUAACGGCCCACCAAGCCUGUGAUCCGUAGCUGGUCUGAGAGGAUGAUCAGCCACACUGGGACUGAGACACGGCCCAGACUCCUACGGAGGCAGCAGUGGGGAAUAUUGGACAAUGGGCGCAAGCCUGAUCCAGCAAUGCCGCGUGAGUGAUGAAGGCCUUAGGGUUGUAAAGCUCUUUCGCCCGCGACGAUGAUGACGGUAGCGGGAGAAGAAGCCCGGCUAACUUCGUGCCAGCAGCCGC